rnacentral:lncRNA from 1 species
UCUGUCUCUCUCCUUCCUGACCCCAGAUGUAAGGAGUUUGCUCUGUCACACCCUCCCACAUUGAUGUGUCAUCAUCACCAGACCAGCAGACCAACGGAGCUACUCAAUCUUGGAAUGAAUCUCCAGAACUCAUCUUUUUACCCUACAAGUGGCAUGUCUCAGUUCAUUAUAGUGAUACAAAGUUAAGUACUACAACUGCACAUAGAUUAAACAUGAAAGAGGCUUAUUUCUUGCUCAUGUAAAAUAGAAAGCAGAUUUUUUAAAUUGAUAAGUGGCUCCAAAUAAGUAUUCAAGUCCCUUAUCCUCUUCUAUCUGCUGCCUUCCAACCAUGCCAUGCAUCAAGCUGCUAGGAAGGGAAGGAGCAUGGGGGAACACAUAGGGAAGGUUUUUGAGGCUUAGGCUCCCAUCUCAUUGGCUAGAACCCAGUCACAUGACCAUAUCUAACUGCAAGAGGAGUAUAGACAAGUGCGUGUCCCCAACACAAUCUCACAUUCAUGUCCUCCUAGCCUUUAAUGGCAGGAAAAUUUCUGUCUCUCUUAAUGACUCUGCACACUUCAUUUUGUAAUUUAGGAGAACCAAAUGCCUAAUUGUGUUCUGUUUUUUGCCUUCAUUCAAAUCUGAGUUUAGUGCUCAAUUGAAGCAACUAUUCUUAAUGUAGAUUUUCCAGAACAAAUAUCUGCUAUUUCCAUUAUGUGAAUUGUUAUAUUAUCUGUGCUGUAAUAGUCUUACUAUGUUCCUUCUGUUGUAACUGAACUAAAACUCUUUCUGGAAAUCAGUGUGUUGCAGAAAUCUCAGAAAGAAAUACACAGAGACACAGAAUUCAGAUAAAAUAAUAAAAUUUCUUCUUGAGAGCAAGCGGGAAUGCCAGAAACCAGACCAGUCAGUAUCAGCCCCUUUUGUUCAGCAUUUCCCUUUUUUGACGGCUGGCUCCGUCACAAGUGGCACCCUAACAGGGACCUGAGAACGGAGGACAAGGUGAAGGACGCCGCUGGAUUGUGAGCUCGGACAAGUAAGUACGGAGUGGCGAUAUAAAAUAUGGGGACGACUAAUAGUCAGAUCCUGUUCACUCAGAUAUUAAAAAAGAUGCUCUGUAAUCGGGGAGCUAAGGUUGGGCAACAGCAACUGUGUCACUUUUUAGAAUUUGUAGAGAAA